rnacentral:misc_RNA from 1 species
AAGUCGUAACAAGGUUUCCGUAGGUGAACCUGCGGAAGGAUCAUUGCAAAAAUGGAAGUGAGAAAUUUGUAGGAAUGUGUGCGAGACGAUAUUAGACAAUCAUUUUUACCAAUUCAUAUAUACAACUCUCCACAAUGGAUCUCUGGGCUCUU